rnacentral:rRNA from 1 species
GACGAACGCUGGCGGCGUGCCUAACACAUGCAAGUCGAACGGAAAGGCCCUGUUUUUGCGCGGUUCUGGAGUGGCGAACAGGUGAGUAUCACGUGAGUAACCUGCCCUUUUCUGUGGGGUACCAUCUGGAAAAUCGAGUGCUUACACCGUAUAAGCUCCUUCUACAUGGUGUGUGUGGGAGAAAGUCGGCGGUUGGGGAUGGACUCGCGGCUCAGCAGCUUGUUGGUGAGGUAGUGGCGUACCAGGGCAUUGACGGGUAGCCGGCCUGAGAGGGUGACAGGCCACAUUGGGCCUGAGAUACGGCCCAGAGUCAUACGGGAGGCAGCAGUGGGAAAUAUUGCACAAUGGGCGGAAGCCGGAUGCAGGAACGCCGCGUGCGGGAUGACGGUUGUCGGGGUGUAACCCGCUUUAGACUGUGACGAAGCGUGAGUGACGGUAAUGGGUAAGGAAGCACCGGCUAACUACGUG